rnacentral:rRNA from 1 species
UACGUAGGGACCAAGCGUUGUCCGGAAUCAUUGGGCGUAAAGAGCGUGUGGGCGGCUUGUUAAGUCUUGCGUGAAAUCUCGGGGCUCAACCCCGAGCGGUCGUGAGAAACUGGCAGGCUAGAGUGCGGGAGAGGAGAGUGGAAUUCCUGGUGUAGCGGUGAAAUGCGCAGAUAUCAGGAAGAACACCCGUGGCGAAGGCGGCUCUCUGGAACGCAACUGACGCUGAGACGCGAAAGCGUGGGGAGCAAACAGG